GCCAUAGCUCAGUGGUAGAGCAUCUGCUUUGGAUGCCAAAGGUUGCAGGUUGAAUCCCUGAAUCUGUGGGUA